rnacentral:rRNA from 1 species
AUACGUAGGGGGCUAGCGUUAUCCGGAAUUACUGGGCGUAAAGGGUGCGUAGGUGGUUUCUUAAGUCAGAAGUGAAAGGCUACGGCUCAACCGUAGUAAGCUUUUGAAACUAAGAGACUUGAGUGCAGGAGAGGAGAGUAGAAUUCCUAGUGUAGCGGUGAAAUGCGUAGAUAUUAGGAGGAAUACCAGUUGCGAAGGCGGCUCUCUGGACUAUAACUGACACUUAGGCACGAAAGCGUGGGGAGCAAACAGGAUUAGAUACCCUGGUAGUCCACGCCGUAAACGAUGAGUACUAGCUGUCGGGGGUUACCCCCCUCGGUGGCGCAGCUAACGCAUUAAGUACUCCGCCUGGGAAGUACGCUCGCAAGAGUGAAACUCAAAUGAAUUGGCGGGG